rnacentral:tRNA from 1 species
AGUGGGGUGGCAGAGAGAUGUGGCGGAUUUAGGAUCCGUAUAGGGGACAGUUUCCCUCCCACUG